GUAGUAUUCCCUCCGUCCCAAAAUUCUUGUCUUAGAUUUGUCUAAAUAUGGAUGCAUCAAGUCACAUUCUAGUGUUGGAUACAUCCGUAUCUAGACUAAUCUAAGACAAGAAUUUUGGGACGGACGUA
rfam:Triticum urartu cultivar G1812 contig1091912, whole genome shotgun sequence.